rnacentral:rRNA from 1 species
CACGCCGUAAACGAUGAGUACUAGGUGUUGCGGGUAUUGACCCCUGCAGUGCCGGAGCUAACGCAUUAAGUACUCCGCCUGGGAAGUACGGUCGCAAGACUAAAACUCAAAGGAAUUGACGGGGGCCCGCACAAGCGGUGGAGCAUGUGGUUUAAUUCGACGCAACGCGAAGAACCUUACCUGGGCUUGACAUCCGUGGAACCUGGUGGAAACACCGGGGUGCCUUCGGGAGCCACGAGACAGGUGC